rnacentral:rRNA from 1 species
GUGAACGCUGGCGGUAGGCCUAACACCUGCAAGUCGAACGGCAGCACAGUAAGAGCUUGCUCUUACGGGUGGCGAGUGGCGGACGGGUGAGGAAUACAUCGGAAUCUACUUUUUCGUGGGGGAUAACGUAGGGAAACUUACGCUAAUACCGCAUACGACCUACGGGUGAAAGCAGGGGAUCUUCGGACCUUGCGCGAUUGAAUGAGCCGAUGUCGGAUUAGCUAGUUGGCGGGGCAAAGGCCCACCAAGGCGACGAUCCGUAGCUGGUCUGAGAGGAUGAUCAGCCACACUGGAACUGAGACACGGUCCAGACUCCUACGGGAGGCAGCAGUGGGGAAUAUUGGACAAUGGGCGCAAGCCUGAUCCAGCCAUACCGCGUGGGUGAAGAAGGCCUUCGGGUUGUAAAGCCCUUUUGUUGGGAAAGAAAAGCAGCAGGUUAAUACCCCGCUGUUCUGACGGUACCCAAAGAAUAAGCACCGGCUAACUUCGUG